rnacentral:tRNA from 1 species
UCUGACCAUGGCGGAAUUGGUAGACGCGCUAGAUUCAGGUUCUAGUGGGAGCAAUCCCGUGGAGGUUCGAGUCCUCUUGUCCGCACCA